CAUUGAAGCUUGAUGUGAUACUCUACUAGAUAUUAAUUAAAUCAGAAACUAAAAAUUAGUGUUUCGUCAAAGAUCAUAUACUAAACUUACUUCCUUUCAGGACUUGAUUGCUCCUCCUCUUGUUUUAUUAAAUCUAAAGACAACUUAUCCCAUGGUAAAGCAAUAUCAGUCAUACCUAUGAAUUCAAACAGAACAGUAGCACCAAAAAAGGGGAAAAAGAAAAAUAAGCAUAAGCACAACCAACAAAUAGUGACUCACAUCUGCUAGCAUACUUUAAGAAAAAGUAUAUC
rnacentral:lncRNA from 1 species